GAAAAUGUUUUCAAUUUCUUUAAAGAUUUCCUUUAUUUUUAAUGCUGUAUAAGAUAUGUACAAAUGAAUGCAAGCCCUAUGAUUUGCUGGAAUGUAUAGCUACCAUGCCCAAAACCAUCUAUCACCCCACACAAUGGUUUCCUCUUUAGGAAUUUUCGUGAAAUUGUAAUGAAAUCAACAGCAUUUGGUGUGAAAUAAAUAUUUUCAAAACCCUCUUCAAAUUAA
rnacentral:sRNA from 1 species